CUACGGGGCGCAGCAGUGGGGAAUAUUGGACAAUGGGGGAAACCCUGAUCCAGCAAUGCCGCGUGUGUGAAGAAGGCCUGCGGGUUGUAAAGCACUUUCGGUUGGGAGGACUGCUUCUAGCACUAAUAUUGUUGGAAGUUGACGUUACCUUCAGAAGAAGCACCGGCUACCUCCGUGCCAGCAGCCGCGGUAAUAUGGAGGGUGCAAGCGUUAAUCGGAAUUACUGGGCGUAAAGCGCGCGUAGGCGGCUAGAUCAGUCGGGUGUGAAAGCCCCGGGCUUAACCUGGGAACUGCAUCCGAUACUGGCUAGCUUGAGUACAGGAGAGGAGAGUGGAAUUCCACAUGUAGCGGUGAAAUGCGUAGAUAUGUGGAGGAACACCAAUGGCGAAGGCAGCUCUCUGGCCUGAUACUGACGCUGAGGUGCGAAAGCGUGGGGAGCAAACAGGAUUAGAUACCCGGGUAGUC
rnacentral:rRNA from 1 species